GACGAACCGAGCGAACGUUGUUCGGAAUCACUGGGCUUAAAGGGCGCGUAGGCGGGUGGUCAAGUCCGGGGUGAAAUCCCACAGCUCAACUGUGGAAUUGCCUCGGAUACUGGGCGUCUCGAGGGUGGCAGGGGUAUGCGGAACUAUCGGUGGAGCGGUGAAAUGCGUUGAUAUCGAUAGGAACUCCGGUGGCGAAGGCGGCAUACUGGUCCACUUCUGACGCUGAGGCGCGAAAGCCAGGGGAGCAAACGGG
rnacentral:rRNA from 1 species